UUCUGGGGGAGUCACGUGAAGCUUGAAUCUACAGAAUAACAAAAGAUCACCAGGUUGUUAGAUACAUCUAUUCCCAGAUUUCUGAGCAAAACAGGUGUAAAUCCUUUAUGUUGAAGAGGAAAGUGUGUGUUUAACAUUUCUGGAUUUUUCUAAUGCUUAUCUUCUCUCAAGUUCUAGGAUUGCAGAUGUGAAACACAAAUCAGCAAUUAGAUGUCUACCCUAAGUUUUUAAUAUGAGAGUAUCUUAACAGAAGUUUGGCACAGUGUAUUUUUAAAGUUUAGUGUAUCCUGACUUCAUAAGAGACAUUUCAAAUACCGUUGGAAUUGAGUGUGACUAUCUUCUUGCAAAAUUUCUGUAUUGAAUUUCUACAUACUGGAAGCUCUAAGAACAAAGGAAAACAGGAAGCAAGCAAGCAAGGAACAAAUGAAGGAAAUUAAGAAGAGAGAAGUGAAGGCAAUAAAGAAGAAACGCUUGCUGUAAAGCACAAGCAUGCUUUGAUGUCAUGAUGCAAGCCUUUAAAAAUGUUGGGGGAAAUAACUACAAAGAGAGUAGAGUUGGCUGAACAUAGCUAAACUCUAUUGAUGUCCUACAGAAAGAAUGAAAAGUGGAGCCCACAAUGUGUUAGUAAUUAGUGAAUGAGAAAGUCAGAGCCUUUGUGAUAGAAUGACUUAUGAUCUG